rnacentral:lncRNA from 1 species
GGCAAAGAACAUGCUAUGAAUCCAACACCCCAAUUCACUUGCCCUGAUUACAAGCCAUCAAAUAAGCUUCAAGUAGUUAUCUAGUAUAAUUCAAUCUUCUUCAUAAAAAUUGAAUCAAUUUAAUAAUAAAUUGUGUUAUGUGUAAUUUUCAGGGGAAAAUAGCAGUAGUGACUGGAGGUGACUCUGGAAUAGGACGUUCUGUAUGCAACUUAUUUGCAUUAGAAGGUGCUACUGUGAUUUUCACUUAUGUGAAGGGUCAUGAAGACAAGGACGCAAGGGACACACUUGAUAUGAUAAAAAUGGCAAAGACUGCAGAUGCCAAAGAUCCAAUGGCUAUACCAGCUGACCUUGGUUUUGAUGAGAAUUGUAAAAGAGUAGUGGAUGAGAUCAUCAAUACUUAUGGCAGAAUUGAUAUUCUUGUCAACAAUGCAGCUGAGCAGUAUGAGUGUGGUUCAAUUGAGGAGAUUGAUGAACCAAGACUUAUUAGGGUGUUCCAAACCAACUUCUUCUCCUAUGUCUUCAUGACUAGGUAAGAAACAAAAGUGGCGACAACACUUCCUGUAACACUCUUUUCAACACUUACUCUCUCAUUAGGUGAAUUUUAUGUAGGUUCAUCCGGACCUAUGCAUGAAUUUCAGUUAACAAGUAGAUAGAGCCUUGGAAAGUUGCAAUAAAAUGUUAAUCAAAUUAUAUUAUUAUAUAUGUAUAACAUAAAAUUGGAUCCAUAUAUAACAUAGUCUUGUAACUCUUAAAUUAAAAUAAAGCAUAGGUUAUUUCAUGAUUUUGGGUUUGACAAACUUUUGUAUAAUAGGCAUGCACUGAAGCAUAUGAAGGAAGGAAGCAGCAUUAUCAACACAACAUCAGUGAAUGCAUACAAAGGACACCCAACAUUGCUGGACUACACAUCCACUAAGGGUGCCAUUGUGGCCUUUACAAGGGCACUUUCACUUCAGCUGGUGAGCAAGGGAAUAAGAGUGAAUGGGGUUGCACCUGGACCU